CAAAGCAAACGAAUAGGAGUUUAGGAUAAAUAUAUGCUGCACUUCAUUUUCUUGAGAGCAUCGUGCAAACUAGUAAUUUGGAAAAUACUCUUCUAAUGAGAACUGUGGAUUGAGAGAAGGAGCAGCACGAGCCCCAGAAUGGGAUGAUAGGAGGAAGGGUGUUUUGAGGAUGAAGGAUGAAGUUAUCGUUCCAGCCAAAUGCAUCAUUUCCUACUGGGAGGCUUGGUGAAGGACUAUAAAAGGUGCCCCUUCUCCCAAGGUUCUUCACAAUCACACUUCCCUCCUCUAUUGGUACUACACUCCUAGCAUCUCCAAAAGAAAUGGGCAACUCCGGAUCUGGUGGUGGCGGCUGUGACUGCUGUGGCGGCGGCGGCGGCGAAAGCAUGAUGAUUGUCUCCUGUCCAGGGAACAACAACUGUGGCUGCUGCUCUCCCUGUUGCUGUGCUCCGCGGUGCUGCGUCCCGUGUUGCAACCAGUGUUGCACCCAGUGUUGCGCUCCUUGCUGUUGCCAAGGCUGCAAGUGAAAGCCAACACUAGAACCAUCUUCUGGAUGUGGCCAUUUAGCUCUCUUUCCCUCCUGGGUUUUCCAUCUUUUCUUUUUCUGCAACCCAACCUGACCUGUUGCCUGUUUCUAUCCUGCUUAAUAGCCUCUUCUGCCUAUGCUUGAACUUGGUAUUUCCUUGGAAUACGAAUUCUCAGAGUCCUCCAGUGGCCAAGCUUAAAGGGGAAUCUGGGAGCUUUCGUUUCCCUCUUCCAAAGACCAUGCUCUUCUUUAAAGCUCUGCUCCUUUCUGUCCCUGGAAUCUAUUAAAUAUGCUUUUCCUAGAAUCAUAGAAUCAUGAUUCUUCUAUAUCUUCUAUUUCAAGAUUUGUCUCAUCCGCAACUUUAUUGAUUCCCGUUCCUUCACAAGCUUGCAGUCGACCCAUCUUGAACCCUGGCUAGAAAAUCUGAAGACCUUUUUUUGCCCUGGUUUCUCCUGAAUUUCCUCCACUUAUGCAGUUUUGCAGGCAAUUCCUCCCAUUUCUCUCUCUGUGCAUAUGCAUUUCCCCUUAAUUUAUGGUCACGGUUUUGGAGAACUCUGUGACAGCUUUCCAAGAAGUACAAAUAUCAAAGUAUAAUUGUCUUUUGGUUUUCUUAUUGGUUCCCAAAGUUCCAAUGGAUCACUUUUGUGUUACUAAACAAGUCCUUUCCCCUCCACAGUUAGGAUGAGCCUUGUUUAGUCCUCCCUCUAACCUCCCUCUAACCUACUAUUACUAGUCUAUACUCUUCUCCCACUCUGCUGCUUUUCUUCUGAGCCUUGUUUCUCACCACUACACGAAAAGCCAAGGAAGAGACAUGAUAAUGUUGGAUCAGGACUCAGGAGAUCCAAGUACUAACUCUCUUAUGGAUCCAUGCAAGUCACCAGAUGUGUUAGAACCACGACGCCGUGUCUCUCUUGGUGAGGAAAGAGGAAAACCAUUGACUCCACAGUCAGCUUACCAGAAGAAAGGAGGAUCGACAUUUAAGUAUAACUCACCAACUACCAUGAAGGAGGAACCCAUAAUGGGAGGUAUAUCUGCUUAUCCCAUGGAUGGAUCGUCAGUUGGGAUUAGCACCUUUUCCAUCUUCCACACCAACCCUUUGUUGUUUACCUUCAUAAAUCCAUCCUGGGGGGAGGCCAUAGGCAAUUCCAUCCGUAGCACAUUCCCACCAACAGGAGCUAUAUCAACUGAAGGAACAUUUGAUGAUGCCUCCUCUUCCUACUCCACCUCAGGAUCUCAUGGAGAUGCAGUGAUUCCAAGUUCAACUCAGGAUUUUCUCUCUCUGCUGCUUGUAAUGUCUUGUCAUUUCCAAAAACUUGCAUGCUUAUUCCAAUAAAAGUAUUACACUGA